CAACUCGAGAAUGGCCUUCGAUACUGGCAAACUAGAGUGCCGGAGAGGGAAAGCGGAACUCUUGGUGUAACGGUGGAAUGUGUAGAAAUCAAGAGGAACACCGGUGGCGAAGGCGGCUUUCUGGACGCACACUGACGCUCAGGCGCGAAAGCGUGGGUAGCAAACAGGAUUAGAUACCCUGGUAGUCCACGCCAUAAACGAUGGGUACUAGGUGUCGGGGGUAUCGACCCCUCCGGUGCCGCAGUUAACGCACUAAGUACCCCGCCUGGGGAUUAUGGUCGCAAGGCUGAAACUCAAAGGAAUUGACGGGGCCCCGCACAAGCGGUGGAGCAUGUGGUUUAAUUCGACGCAACGCGAAGAACCUUACCUGGGCUUGACAUGCUUGGGACAGCGCUGGAAACAGCGUCUCUCCUUCGGGAGCCCUUGCACAGGUGCUGCAUGGCUGUCGUCAGCUCGUGUCGUGAGAUGUUGGGUUAAGUCCCGCAACGAGCGCAACCCUCGUUACUAGUUGCCAUCAGUUCGGCUGGGCACUCUAGUGAGACUGCCGGUGAUAAACCGGAGGAAGGUGAGGAUGAUGUCAAGUCAUCAUGGCCCUUACGCCCAGGGCUACACACGUGCUACAAUGGUCGGCACAAAGGGUCGCUAAGCCGCGAGGUGGAGCUAAUCCCAAAAAGCCGGCCUCAGUUCGGAUUGGAGUCUGCAACCCGACUCCAUGAAGGCGGAAUCGCUAGUAAUCGCGGAUCAGCAUGCCGCGGUGAAUAUGUUCCCGGGGCUUGUACACACCGCCCGUCAUAUCACCCGAGUCGGGGAUACCCGAAGUCCGUGACCCAACCAUUUGGAGGGAGCGGCCGAAGGUGUGCCUGUAAGGGGG
rnacentral:rRNA from 1 species